UACAGAGGGUGCAAGCGUUAAUCGGAAUGACUGGGCGUAAAGGGUGCGUAGGUGGUUGCUUAAGUUAGAUGUGAAAGCUCCGGGCUUAACCUGGGAAUUGCAUCUAAUACUGGGCAGCUUGAGUAGAGUAGAGGGGAGUGGAAUUUCCGGUGUAGCGGUGGAAUGCGUAGAUAUCGGAAGGAACACCAGUGGCGAAGGCGGCUCCCUGGACUCAUACUGACACUGAAGCACGAAAGCGUGGGGAGCAAACAGG
rnacentral:rRNA from 1 species